rnacentral:rRNA from 1 species
AGAGAGAGACAUGCGCGCAUAUCAAUAAGCGGAGGAAAAGAAACUAACUAGGAUUCCCUUAGUAACGGCGAGUGAAGCGGGAAGAGCUCAAAUUUGAAAUCUUCAAGGUUUACCUUGACGAAUUGUAGUUUAAAGAAGUGUUUUCUGUUGAAGUUUUGGUAAAAGUUCUUUGGAAUAGGACAUCAUAGAGGGUGAGAAUCCCGUAUUUGACCAUUAUUUCCAGCUGUGUGAUACACUUUCAAAGAGUCGGAUUGUUUGGGAAUGCAGUCCAAAAUGGGUGGUAAAUUUCAUCUAAAGCUAAAUAUUGGCGAGAGACCGAUAGCGAACAAGUACCGUGAGGGAAAGAUGAAAAGAACUUUGAAAAGAGAGUUAAACAGUACGUGAAAUUGUCAAAAGGGAAGCGUUUGACACCAGUGUUGUUUUCUCGAAAAUCAAUUAAAAAAGGCAGGAUUUUGUGUUGUAUUGACUUUAUCAGCUUUCUGCACUCUUUUCUUGUCUUUUUUAAUGCACCUUUCGUUUAACAAGUCAACAUCAAUUUCUUUUGUUGUAAAAGGGUCAUUGGAAGGUGGCUUUCUUUUCGGAGAAAGUGUUUAUAGCCUUUGCCUCUGCAAUCGGAGAGACUUGAGGUCUGCAGCGUAGAUCCUUCGGGGUUAGAUACAUUUGUGCUAAGUUAUAGCCUUUCAUAGACAACUUGUUGACUAUGAUCAGUCAUGUAGCUUACUCGCUUAUGCUAUUUUACCUACGCUUAGGAUGUUGAUGUGAUACUGCGAGCA